GAUGAACGCUGGCGGCGUGCCUAAUACAUGCAAGUCGAGCGAACGGACGAGAAGCUUGCUUCUCUGAUGUUAGCGGCGGACGGGUGAGUAACACGUGGACAACCUACCUAUAAUACUGGGAUAACUUCGGGAAACCGUAGCUAAUACCGGAUAAUAUUUUGAACCGGAUGGUUCAAAAGUGAAAGACGGUCUUGCUGUCACUUAUAGAUGGAUCCGCGCUGCAUUAGCUAGUUGGUAAGGUAACGGCUUACCAAGGCAACGAUGCAUAGCCGACCUGAGAGGGUGAUCGGCCACACUGGAACUGAGACACGGUCCAGACUCCUACGGGAGGCAGCAGUAGGGAAUCUUCCGCAAUGGGCGCAAGCCUGACGGAGCAACGCCGCGUGAGUGAUGAAGGUCUUCGGAUCGUAAAACUCUGUUAUUAGGGAAGAACAUAUGCGUAAGUAACUGUGCACAUCUUGACGGUACCUAAUCAGAAAGCCACGGCUAACUACGUG
rnacentral:rRNA from 1 species